rnacentral:rRNA from 1 species
CCACGGAUCGGCGACCCCCCA